rnacentral:rRNA from 1 species
UACGUAGGGGGCAAGCGUUGUCCGGAUUUAUUGGGCGUAAAGAGCGUGUAGGCGGCCAGGUAGGUCCGUUGUGAAAACUGGAGGCUUAACCUCCAGCUGUCGAUGGAAACCAUCUGGCUAGAGUCCGGAAGAGGAGAGUGGAAUUCCUGGUGUAGCGGUGAAAUGCGCAGAUAUCAGGAAGAACACCCGUGGCGAAGGCGGUUCUCUGGGACGGUACUGACGCUGAGACGCGAAAGCGUGGGGAGCGAACAGG